rnacentral:rRNA from 1 species
UAGGGAAUCUUCCGCAAUGGGCGAAAGCUUGACGGAGCAACGCCGCGUGAGUGAUGAAGGUCUUCGGAUCGUAAAACUCUGUUAUUAGGGAAGAACAAAUGUGUAAGUAACUAUGCACGUCUUGACGGUACCUAAUCAGAAAGCCACGGCUAACUACGUGCCAGCAGCCGCGGUAAUACGUAGGUGGUAAGCGUUAUCCGGAAUUAUUGGGCGUAAAGAGCGCGUAGGCAGUUUUUUAAGUCUAAUGUGAAAGCCCACGGCUCAACCGUGGAGGGUCAUUGGAAACUGGAAGACUUGAGUGAAGAAGAGGAAAGUGGAAUUCCAUGUGUUGCGGUGAAAUGCGCAGAGAUAUGGAGGAACACCAGUGGCGGAGGCGACUUUCUGGUCUGUAACUGACGCUGAUGUGCGAAAGCGUGGAGAUCAAACAGG